AACGUAGGAGACAAACGUUAUCCGGAGUUACUGGGCGUAAAGGGCGUGUAGGUGGUUUCGUAAGUCUGGCGUGAAAUUUUUCGGCUUAACCGGGAAAGGUCGUCGGAUACUGCGGAACUAGAGGACGGUAGAGGCGUGUGGAAUUCCGGGUGUAGUGGUGAAAUGCGUAGAGAUCCGGCGGAACACCGGUGGCGAAGGCGGUCUCCUGGGCCGAGGGCCGACGCUGAGGCGCGAGAGCGUGGGGAGCGAACCGG
rnacentral:rRNA from 1 species